CCGGACCUGACUGCUAUCGGAUUGGUACUAAGCCAUGCGAGUCAUUGUAGCAAUACAAGGCGGACGGCUCAGUAACACGUAGUCAACCUAACUCGUGGACGUGGAUAACCUCGGGAAACUGAGAAUAAACCGCGAUAGAUCAUAGUGCCUGGAAUGGCUUAUGGUCCAAACAGUUUACUGCCAUGGGAUGGGACUGCGGCCUAUCAGCUUGUUGGUGAGGUAAUGGCCCACCAAGGCGAUUACAGGUACGGGCUCUGAGAGGAGAAGCCCGGAGAUGGGUACUGAGACACGGACCCAGGCCCUAUGGGGCGCAGCAGGCGAGAAACCUUAGCAAUGUGCGAAAGCACGACUGGGUCAGUCCGAGUGAUUCCUGAUAAAGGAGUCUUUUGCCUGUCCUAAAAACACAGGUGAAUAAGGGGUGGGCAAGUCUGGUGUCAGCCGCCGCGGUAAUACCAGCACCUCGAGUGGUCAGGGCGUUUAUUGGGCCUAAAGCAUCCGUAGCCGGCUUUGCAAGUCUUCGGUUAAAUCCACCUGCUCAACAGAUGGGCCGCUGGAGAUACUACAGAGCUAGGGAGUGGGAGAGGCAGACGGUAUUCAGUGGGUAGGGGUAAAAUCCUCUGAUCCAUUGAGGACCACCAGUGGCGAAGGCGGUCUGCCAGAACACGUUCGACGGUGAGGGAUGAAAGCUGGGGGAGCAAACCGGAUUAGAUACCCGGGUAGUCCCAGCUGUAAACGAUGCAAACUCGGUGAUGCAUUGGCUUAUGGCCAAUGCAGUGCCGCAGGGAAGCCGUUAAGUUUGCCGCCUGGGAAGUACGGACGCAAGUCUGAAACUUAAAGGAAUUGGCGGGGGAGCACCACAAGGGGUGAAGCCUGCGGUUCAAUUGGAGUCAACGCCGGA
rnacentral:rRNA from 1 species